GAUGAACGCUGGCGGCGUGCUUAACACAUGCAAGUCGAACGAAGCAUUUGCGACAGAUUUUUUCGGAAUGAAGUUGCUUAUGACUGAGUGGCGGACGGGUGAGUAACGCGUGGGUAACCUGCCUUGUACUGGGGGAUAGCAGCUGGAAACGGCUGGUAAUACCGCAUAAGCGCACAAUGUUGCAUGACAUGGUGUGAAAAACUCCGGUGGUAUAAGAUGGACCCGCGUCUGAUUAGCUAGUUGGUGAGAUAACAGCACACCAAGGCGACGAACAGUAGCCGACCUGAGAGGGGGACCGGCCACAUUGGGACUGAGACACGGCCCAGACUCCUACGGGAGGCAGCAGUGGGGAAUAUUGCACAAUGGAGGAAACUCUGAUGCAGCGACGCCGCGUGAGUGAAGAAGUAAUUCGUUAUGUAAAGCUCUAUCAGCAGGGAAGAUAGUGACGGUACCUGACGAAGAAGCUCCGGCUAAAUACGUG
rnacentral:rRNA from 1 species